rnacentral:rRNA from 1 species
UACGUAGGGGGCAAGCGUUGUCCGGAAUCAUUGGGCGUAAAGAGCGUGUAGGCGGCCCGGUAAGUCCGCUGUGAAAGUCCAGGGCUCAACCCUGGGAUGCCGGUGGAUACUGUCGGGCUCGAGUCCGGAAGAGGAGUGUGGAAUUCCUGGUGUAGCGGUGAAAUGCGUAGAUAUCUGGAGGAACACCGGUGGCGAAGGCGGCAUCCUGGACCAACACUGACGCUGAGGAGCGAAGCCAGGGGAGCAAAACGGGAUAGA